UGGUCUUGGUAAACAAAAUUUAGGUAGAGGUCAAAGUCAGUACUCUUCUCACCCUAGUUUUUCUAACCAAUAGACUGGUUUUCAACCAAAUUUUGCCCCUCCUCUCUCUGGGUGAUGGUAUUCAUGGGCGAACCCUUUUUCUAUCGGAUAAACAAUGCCAAAUUUGCUUCUACUUUAGUCACACCACUUUGGCGUAUAGGAACCUUUUCAAUCAUUCCUACGUUCCCAAUUUGCUACCAAAAAUCAUUUACUGCUAUGGCCUUGGAGGAAGUACAAUCACCAACAUGGUAUCUUAAUUUUGGUGCUUCUGCGCAUAUGAGAUGUACCUACUAUGAAUGAAAAAAUAAUAUGUAAUGCUCAUCAGAUUUCUCUGAAUAAUUACAAAGAUGUAUGUAAGAAAAAUGAAGUUUCCACAAAUCUUAUGCAGUUAAAUUUCUCCAAAAUGCGAAAUGAAUAUUUAAGAAAUUAACAAGUACUAUCGAGAAUAGAAAGAUACAAAGGAGAUUUAUCAGACCAUUUGUAUAAAGAAUGAAUCGAAACAUAUUUGUAUAUGCACAAAUAUUAUCAUUUUUAUUUAUCUUAAUACAUUUUUCUCUAUCA